rnacentral:rRNA from 1 species
GAUGAACGCUGGCGGCGUGCCUAAUACAUGCAAGUCGAGCGAACGGACGAGAAGCUUGCUUUUCUGAUGUUAGCGGCGGACGGGUGAGUAACACGUGGAUAACCUACCUAUAAGACUGGGAUAACUUCGGGAAACCGGAGCUAAUACCGGAUAAUAUUUUGAACCGCAUGGUUCAAAAGUGAAAGACGGUCUUGCUGUCACUUAUAGAUGGUUCCGCGCUGCAUUAGCUAGUUGGUAAGGUAACGGCUUACCAAGGCAACGAUGCAUAGCCGACCUGAGAGGGUGAUCGGCCACACUGGAACUGAGACACGGUCCAGACUCCUACGGGAGGCAGCAGUAGGGAAUCUUCCGCAGUGGGCGGAAGCCUGACGGAGCAACGCCGCGUGAGUGAUGAAGGUCUUCGGAUCGUAAAACUCUGUUAUUAGGGAAGAACAUAUGUGUAAGUAACUGUGCACAUCUUGACGGUACCUAAUCAGAAAGCCACGGCUAACUACGUG